UCUACGGGUGGCAGCAGUCGAGAAUCAUUCACAAUGGGGGAAACCCUGAUGGUGCGACGCCGCGUGGGGGAAUGAAGGUCUUCGGAUUGUAAACCCCUGUCAUGUGGGAGCAAAUUACAAAGAUAGUACCACAAGAGGAAGAGACGGCUAAAUCUGGGCCAGCAGCCGCGGUAAUACAGAGGUCUCAAGCGUUGUUCGGAAUCACUGGGCGUAAAGCGUGCGUAGGCUGUUUCGUAAGUCGAGUGUGAAAGGCGCGGGCUCAACCCGCGGACCGCACCUGAUACUGCGAGACUAGAGUAAUGGAGGGGGAAGCGGAAUUCGUGGUGGAGCAGUGAAAUGCGUAGAUA
rnacentral:rRNA from 1 species